GAUGAACGCUGGCGGCGUGCCUAAUACAUGCAAGUCGAGCGAACAGAUGAGGAGCUUGCUCCUCUGACGUUAGCGGCGGACGGGUGAGUAACACGUGGAUAACCUACCUAUAAGACUGGGAUAACUUCGGGAAACCGGAGCUAAUACCGGAUAAUAUAUUGAACCGCAUGGUUCAAUAGUGAAAGACGGUUUUGCUGUCACUUAUAGAUGGAUCCGCGCCGCAUUAGCUAGUUGGUAAAGUAACGGCUUACCAAGGCAACGAUGCGUAGCCGACCUGAGAGGGUGAUCGGCCACACUGGAACUGAGACACGGUCCAGACUCCUACGGGAGGCAGCAGUAGGGAAUCUUCCGCAAUGGGCGAAAGCCUGACGGAGCAACGCCGCGUGAGUGAUGAAGGUCUUCGGAUCGUAAAACUCUGUUAUUAGGGAAGAACAAAUGUGUAAGUAACUAUGCACGUCUUGACGGUACCUAAUCAGAAAGCCACGGCUAACUACGUG
rnacentral:rRNA from 1 species